CCUACGGGAGGCAGCAGUGAGGAAUAUUGGUCAAUGGACGAGAGUCUGAACCAGCCAAGUAGCGUGAAGGAUGACUGCCCUAUGGGUUGUAAACUUCUUUUAUAUGGGAAUAAAACAGGGUAUGCAUACCCUCUUGUAUGUACCAUAUGAAUAAGGAUCGGCUAACUCCGUGCCAGCAGCCGCGGUAAUACGGAGGAUCCGAGCGUUAUCCGGAUUUAUUGGGUUUAAAGGGAGCGUAGGUGGAUUGUUAAGUCAGUUGUGAAAGUUUGCGGCUCAACCGUAAAAUUGCAGUUGAAACUGGCAGUCUUGAGUACAGUAGAGGUGGGCGGAAUUCGUGGUGUAGCGGUGAAAUGCUUAGAUAUCACGAAGAACUCCGAUUGCGAAGGCAGCUUACUGGACUGCAACUGACACUGAUGCUCGAAAGUGUGGGUAUCAAACAGGAUUAGAUACCCCGGUAGUC
rnacentral:rRNA from 1 species